rnacentral:lncRNA from 1 species
AUGGGAGUCCUUCUCCCUCAGAGGAUAUUCACAUAUAAGCACACCCCACUACCUUUUUUUUUUUUUCUUUUUUUUUUUGGUUCCUAGUUCAUGCAAGGUCAUAAGGUUGCACUGGUUUUGAGAUACAGUUUUGGGAGUCUUGUCACCACUCUUUUCAUACUUUGUGAUAUGAAUGAAAACCCUCUAUGUUACUGAUAAUUAGUUUUAUUAGUCAAAUUAAAUAGAGUAUGCUGUAUGACCCAUUUUGUUUCAUUUGUAGAAAAAAGAGAGAUUUUAAUUUGCCAGAUAUAAAGAAUUGCAAAAAAAUUGUAAUAUUAAAUGUUAGUAAUGAUAGAAGUAGCAUGAAUAUGUUUGUUUUAAUUGAUUGUAAAGUCUAGCCGUGGAAUAGACUUUUUUUUUAAUAAAUUGUAUCAUUUGUGGAUAUGGAAGAAGGGCAUCUUGUACAAUUAUUGAUUUGUUAGUUUGCCUAGUCUAAUAAUUAGAGUUUGAAUAUGAAAUAGUCCAUUGCACUAUUGAAACUGGCAGACACCUAAUUUUAGUUUUGUGAAAGGCCUUUACUCAUUAGACAUAUAGUAUUCAUUGUUGAAGGGUUUUUGUAUUCACAUUCAACAUCCUUUCUUGUAGGAAUAUUUAAUUGAUCUCAGGAAUAGUUAAAAAGUUAGGGCACAGAUCUUUAAAAGCAGCAGAACUGCCAGCCAGUGUCACUAACCUCUCACAACAAACAGAUUUUUAGAAUCUGUACUAUAAUGUAAUAUUAUUUUAUUAGUAUUGCUAUUAUCAUUUUAUUUAUGCCACUUUAGGCAAUUAUGAAGAUACAAACUUAACCCCUUAACGACGGCAGCUGGAGAUGAGAUAUUUCAUCGUGGCCUUCCUCUUGGCCGGCACGCUGGGUGAUUAGGCGUAUAGCGCUUGGCUGUGGCCAUUGCGGGCAAAGUCUAAGGUAUUAGACUUACAAGUUUGAAAUAUCCCGGUGUUUCAACCAUUUGGAGCCAAAACAGCCCUGUCGUUAACGGGUUAAUUGAUACUGCAUUUGAAAAAUACCGACAGGACAUUUUGGGGCACAUAACCCAUUGGCACCGGGUGACAUGAUAUCAUGUCAUGCGAAUAUUUUGCUCUUGCUGGAUGAUGUCCUAUCACAUCAUGAUCGUUCCUUCAAAAUAUAUGUUUUACAUCAUUAGUAUGUAUAUAAUCAUAGGAGUUUGAUUUGUUUAGACAUUUUUAUUCACUUGUGAAAAUAAGGUAAAUUAACAUAAAAAACUCUAAUUAUCAACCCAUUGAAGUGGGCGCAGCACGGCAUGGUGCCAGAAGAAAUCUGGUGCUUAGUCACUACAUGCGCUUGUUAUCUAGCCAGCAGGAGCAGCAUUACCCAAAUAUAAGCCCCGGUGUGAAUGGGUUAAAUAGUGGAUAAGCUGUAUAAACAAAAUAUCUCAAGUGACUGGCUAUAUAUACUGUUGCUCAAAAGAACACUGGUAUAGCAUGUUGAUUUUUACAUACAAGACUCAGGUGGUGAUUUUGAACACACAAAUUAUAGGCUGUUAUAUUUCAUCAGAUGUAUAGUGUUAGUUGCUCAAAGUUUACUCCUGUGAUAAGUAGGUAAUUUUGCUCUACACAUUUUAAAUAAUCCAGGUUCAUUUUUCUUUUACCAUACAGCAAGUGUUUUAUCCAUGACAGCCAAUGGAAAAAAAAGCCAACUAGUGGUUAUAUAUGACUGAGUGUGCGGGUAUGAGAGGGUCCUUUCCUCCUUGUCUAUCUGUUGUAGUUUAAUUGAACUUACGAGCUACUAAUACCAGUCUGCUUUGCAUGCCCCGGAUUUUUCUCUCUCUCUUUUAUUUUUGCAGUUUAGAUCUUUUAAAAGACUUAUUCUCAUGCGCUACCCUAUGUAUUUAAGCAUGCAUGUUAGAAUUUAUGUAAAUAUGUGAUUUUUUUUUCUUUUUUUUUCAACUUUAUUUUUACUCUUGCCUGUCAAUGCAUACCGGUACAUUCCACAAAGAUUUUUCUCAAGUACAUGUUUUCUGGAGAGUUUUAUUGUUAGUAUUAAAGUUGAGAAGUUGGGGUCAGGAAUAAUACUCCUUCAUGUUUUUCAUUAUACUUACAUAAAUAGGCAGAUAGAUUAAAAAUUUACAUUCGUGUUGAUGAGAUGUUACAGUGUUGUCUACUGUAUAUGAAGUCACUGCCUUUGAUGAAUGGUAACAGACGUUUCCUGUGCAAAUGCUCAUACUAAAUCAUGUCCAAUUUAAGGACAUUUUUCCAGUACUCAGGCUUAAAGAAUACAGAACCAGGAUGGUAGUAUAAAGCCAAAACAAACUAAACAUCUUGUCUAUUUACAAACUUCCUAUAUGCAUUGAAAUGUGAGUUUCGUUUUUUCAGUCAUAAACCCACGUAACCGACUGAGUCUGAGUGAUGCGACAGAAUGAGUUAUUGGAUAUAGUUAUCCCAAAGUUGUGAUGGCAAAGAUUGUAGUGAAUGACCAUGUUUAGUAAGGCUAGUGAUGAUAUUUAUGAAAUGCAAAUAGUGUGAUAAAGCACAGAUGCAGAAAUGUUUGAAAAUAUGAGAUUGAAUGAAAUUACAGUAAGAAAUGUUAUGUUAAAUCACACCAAAUUAGUGGUAGCUGAAGCAGAAGGUUCAGGCAGGAGCACAAAAAGGGAUUACUGUUAUUGAUGUUCCUGCUAGAAAAAGUUCAAUUUAACCUGAAAUGUUACGAACUUUGUUUCUUCUAUUUUUUGUAGGGUUUCAUUAGAUAUUGUUGUCAGUUUCUCAUAGGGAAACCAAGAUUUAAGCAUUUGUUUGGUAUGUGUAUUAGAUCAAUUUAUCUGUAGCAGAGAUUAAAGAAAAUAUACUUUUCAAAGAAUUAGCCAUUUAAGCAUAGACUAUUCACAAUAGUGAUGUAAUCCUGCUUGGUUCCAUAUUGCACAAUUCAUAAACGUUACUAAAGAAAGCAUUACCAUACAACUUUUAAUGAGGAAUAUGAAUUACAAUUUUUUUUUUUUUUUUUACAAUUAAUUUUCCUCCUUUGGAGAAUGCAUAUUUGAUAUAUAUUUAUGUAUAUAUGUUUAUGUAUUUGUGUAUAUAUAUAUAUAUAUAUAUAUAUAUAUAUAUAUAUAUAUAUAAAUAAAUAUAAAUAUAUAUAUACAUACAUUAUAUAUGAAUUUAUAAUUUGAGAUUUCUUUAAAUGUUACUACAUCCAUAUAUAUACUGAUACAGUGACUAUACUCACUAGAUAUCUGACUUCCUUUUUUAUGUACCUUAUUUAUAUUUAAUAUGGAGGAUCACUUACUACUUUUUCAAGGCAGUGACAAGAAUACAGAAGCACUGAACAUCUCUUACAGCAGAGGUGAAUGUAUGUAUAAAUAGCAGGUAUUAAAAUGCAAAUUCAGUGAUCUCUAGACAUGUGUUCAUAACAGACUAUAUAGACAUUUAAGAAAGUUUUUUCUUUGUAAUUGAGAAAAGAAGGUCAUUAUUGUUAUAUAUUUUUGUUGUGGUUUAUGAGUUCAGAGGAAUACCAGAGAAAAAGUGGGUCUGGAUUUUUAUUUAUGGAUUUUUUAUUUUCUGAAAUAUAGUUAUAGAGUGAUUGAUAUUUGGUUUAAACUUUGAUAAAUGGUUGGAGAAAUAAUGGACAAUAUAUUUGUUAAAAGUAGUUGA